rnacentral:rRNA from 1 species
GGCGGCGUGCUUAACACAUGCAAGUCGAGCGGAAAGGCCCUUCGGGGGUACUCGAGCGGCGAACGGGUGAGUAACACGUGAGCAACCUGCCCCUGACUCUGGGAUAAGCCCGGGAAACUGGGUCUAAUACCGGAUACGACCGCCCCCGGCAUCGGGUGGUGGUGGAAAGUUUUUUCGGUUGGGGAUGGGCUCGCGGCCUAUCAGCUUGUUGGUGGGGUAGUGGCCUACCAAGGCGACGACGGGUAGCCGGCCUGAGAGGGCGACCGGCCACACUGGGACUGAGACACGGCCCAGACUCCUACGGGAGGCAGCAGUGGGGAAUAUUGCGCAAUGGGCGGAAGCCUGAGCCAGCGACGCCGCGUGGGGGAUGACGGCCUUCGGGUUGUAAACCUCUUUCAGCAGGGACGAAGUUGACGUGUACCUGCAGAAGAAGCGCCGGCUAACUACGUGCCAGCAGCCGCGGUAAUACGUAGGGCGCAAGCGUUGUCCGGAAUUAUUGGGCGUAAAGAGCUCGUAGGUGGCUGGUCGCGUCUGCCGUGAAAGCCCGCAGCUUAACUGCGGGUCUGCGGUGGAUACGGGCCGGCUAGAGGUAGGUAGGGGCAAGUGGAAUUCCUGGUGUAGCGGUGAAAUGCGCAGAUAUCAGGAGGAACACCGGUGGCGAAGGCGGCUUGCUGGGCCUUACCUGACGCUGAGGAGCGAAAGCGUGGGGAGCGAACAGGAUUAGAUACCCUGGUAGUCCACGCUGUAAACGUUGGGCGCUAGGUGUGGGGAUCUUCCACGAUCUCCGUGCCGGAGCUAACGCAUUAAGCGCCCCGCCUGGGGAGUACGGCCGC